GAUGAACGCUGGCGGCGUGCCUAAUACAUGCAAGUCGAGCGAACAGACGAGGAGCUUGCUCCUCUGACGUUAGCGGCGGACGGGUGAGUAACACGUGGAUAACCUACCUAUAAGACUGGGAUAACUUCGGGAAACCGGAGCUAAUACCGGAUAAUAUAUUGAACCGCAUGGUUCAAUAGUGAAAGACGGUUUUGCUGUCACUUAUAGAUGGAUCCGCGCCGCAUUAGCUAGUUGGUAAGGUAACAGCUUACCAAGGCAACGAUGCGUAGCCGACCUGAGAGGGUGAUCGGCCACACUGGAAGUGAGACACGGUCCAGACUCCUACGGGAGGCAGCAGUAGGGAAUCUUCCGCAAUGGGCGAAAGCCUGACGGAGCAACGCCGCGUGAGUGAUGAAGGUCUUCGGAUCGUAAAACUCUGUUAUGAGGGAAGAACAAAUGUGUAAGUAACUAUGCACGUCUUGACGGUACCUAAUCAGAAAGCCACGGCUAACUACGUG
rnacentral:rRNA from 1 species